UACAGAGGUCUCAAGCGUUGUUCGGAUUCAUUGGGCGUAAAGGGUGCGUAGGCGGCGCGGUAAGUCAGGUGUGAAAUCUCGGAGCUUAACUCCGAAACUGCAUUCGAUACUGCGGUGCUUGAGGACUGGAGAGGAGACUGGAAUUCAUGGUGUAGCAGUGAAAUGCGUAGAGAUCAUGAGGAAGACCAGUGGCGAAGGCGGGUCUCUGGACAGUUCCUGACACUGAGACACGAAGGCCAGGGGAGCAAACGGG
rnacentral:rRNA from 1 species